AAUAGAUACCCCGGUAGUCCACGCCGUAAACGAUGAGUGCUAAGUGUUAGGGGGUUUCCGCCCCUUAGUGCUGCAGCUAACGCAUUAAGCACUCCGCCUGGGGAGUACGGUCGCAAGACUGAAACUCAAAGGAAUUGACGGGGGCCCGCACAAGCGGUGGAGCAUGUGGUUUAAUUCGAAGCAACGCGAAGAACCUUACCAGGUCUUGACAUCCUCUGACAAUCCUAGAGAUAGGACGUCCCCUUCGGGGGCAGAGUGACAGGUGGUGCAUGGUUGUCGUCAGCUCGUGUCGUGAGAUGUUGGGUUAAGUCCCGCAACGAGCGCAACCCUUGACCUUAGUUGCCAGCAUUCAGUUGGGCACUCUAAGGUGACUGCCGGUGACAAACCGGAGGAAGGUGGGGAUGACGUCAAAUCAUCAUGCCCCUUAUGACCUGGGCUACACACGUGCUACAAUGGACAGAACAAAGGGCAGCGAAACCGCGAGGUUAAGCCAAUCCCACAAAUCUGUUCUCAGUUCGGAUCGCAGUUUGCAAC
rnacentral:rRNA from 1 species